UGAGGAAUCUUGUCCAAUGGGCGAAAGCCUGAGACAGCGACGCCGCGUGCGGGAAGAAGGCCCUCGGGUUGUAAACCGCUUUCAGGAGGGACGAAGCCACUCGGGUUAAUAGCCCAGAGGGUGACGGUACCUCCAGAAGAAGCCCCGGCUAACUACGUGCCAGCAGCCGCGGUAAUACGUAGGGGGCAAGCGUUAUCCGGAUUUACUGGGUGUAAAGGGAGCGUAGACGGAAUGGCAAGUCUGAUGUGAAAGGCGGGGGCUCAACCCCUGGACUGCAUUGGAAACUGUUAUUCUUGAGUGCCGGAGAGGUAAGCGGAAUUCCUAGUGUAGCGGUGAAAUGCGUAGAUAUUAGGAGGAACACCAGUGGCGAAGGCGGCUUACUGGACGGUAACUGACGUUGAGGCUCGAAAGCGUGGGGAGCAAACAGGAUUAGAUACC
rnacentral:rRNA from 1 species